UACGUAGGGUGCGAGCGUUGUCCGGAAUUAUUGGGCGUAAAGAGCUCGUAGGCGGUUUGUCGCGUCGGCCGUGAAAACUUGGGGCUUAACCCCGGGCCUGCAGUGGGUACGGGCAGACUAGAGUGCGGUAGGGGAGACUGGAAUUCCUGGUGUAGCGGUGAAAUGCGCAGAUAUCAGGAUGAACACCGGUGGCGAAGGCGGGUCUCUGGGCCGUAACUGACGCUGAGGAGCGAAAGCAUGGGGAGCGAACAGG
rnacentral:rRNA from 1 species